rnacentral:lncRNA from 1 species
CGUGAGUUUGAAAUUUUCAGGGUACUUUUUCUCAGGGAACACGGACCCUCUGGCGCUGCUAGACGGGGUGGGCGCGGAGGCGGGGCGGAGCACGGUGGAGGCGGUGAUCUACUCGACGACGGAGGGGAUCAACAUCCUGGCCAACUACAGGAACCACGGAGCCCUGAGCGAGAUCCACCGAGCCCGACUCGUCGCCAUGGUCAUCGACCACGAGCUGAGCCAGCACCCGGACACCCGGAUCCACCAGAACCGCUUCGUCCAGCUGGCCCAAGAGAUCGUGGCCCUCUUCCCAACGAGAAGCAGGACACCUACUACAAGCCCUCGCACUACAUCAGCCCCAAGAAAACGCUCCCGCCCAGGGGAAGCUCUUCGAGAAGUACGCAAACCGCCGCAGGGAUUUCCGCGCCAGCGGCCUCAUCGCGUCCCGGAGAGGAAGAGGUCGCUACAGCAUGCACAUGUAACCUUAGUUUAAUAUCCGACACGACGUCACAAGGUUUCUCAAUUUCGAACUUCGGCUUCGGUACUCGUAGUCAGAAUGAGGCUCCCAACUUUCAGCCCCUAUUCGCCGUUCUACAAAAAUUUGAAUGCCACGUUUGUGGCAAGUCUUUUCGAAGAGGAAAAUCUUUGUACAAUCACACGAAAUAUGAAUGUGAAAAAAAUCCCACCUUCAAAUGUCAUCUCUGUCCUUACAUUACGAAAAUCAAAGGCAAUUUGAAAAGGCACACCAUAAUAAAACACCAUCUCUUACCCUUGACGUGAAAAAUUAUGUCGCAAAUUCUUCCCGCUUGUAACCUUCGUGCCUUUUUCUCUGAUGUUCGUCCACCUUGGUUUCAAACUGUAAUAUUCAAAGUUAGUAUUUCUCCAGUAUUUUUUGUAACAUGCGAUCACCUUUUCAUCCAGUAAAUUUUUUUUUUUUUAAAUUAUUAAUCAUCAAUUGGGGGAUUAUAACUGUCCCUAAUUUUGCAGAAUAUUUCCAGUUGAAAUUAUUUUUUUAUGUAAUUGGAAUCUCUCAUCUGAGUUUGUUUAGUUCACAAUUCCUAUUGACCUGAUCUCAUGAACGUGAAUACAUACUUUUGUUUGAGUUUCAACCGUUGCUUAAAAUAAAGUUGUCCUUUUAGUUCAGUUGUAUUCACACAAACUUGACCGAGUACCAAAGUGUCUUUUUUACAAGAUUCAUCAUCUCUGAUAAUAAGUUUAAAGAUGUGCGUUGCAAAGAUUAAAAAAGAAAGCUGCGAGGAAAACAGUGCCAUAUCAAAAAGCUUUACUAUUUCAAAGAUACAGCAAAUCAUGAAACCUUCAAAGUAUAGGAAUAGAGUAAGAAUUAAACUCUUCAGAAUUCAGUGCGGCUUUUGAAGUUGGCGGAAGUUGAUGGAAACGGUUGUCAGUGCGCGUGUCUUACUGAAAGAUGUGGCCUCAAAUUUUAGAUCGUGGGUAGCUCCUAAUUUUUCAUGAACAGUUGGACUAUAUUUUGCAAUAUGAACUAAUAUUUUUGUCUCAUUCUUAAAAGCAACACAGAAGAAAGUGCAGACAUGUUUUUGUUUGAGUUUAUCCGUUGGAGGAUGUGCAAUUGUGCAUAGAGGAACUAAUGACACAUUUAAUGUUUCUACAAUGAGACAGAAACUGUAUAGUUCCCUAUCGCAAAAUAUCGCCCGGUUAACCACUACUCUGCCGUGGUACCGAAGAUAUUAGAAAAGACCACAUUACCAAAAGCGAGUCCUCUUCAAAAUUCCAUCAAUUUGAUUCGAAUAAACUGAGCGAUUCCACUUCAACAGCAAAAUUCACCGUACAUAUUUUCAAAGUAUGAAGGUUGUCGGAAAGCAGUAGUUGCUCAUGAAUUGACGUCAUGUUUACAACAGAACAGCAGUAAGUUCCUGCAUCAUCCCGCAGAAGAUCUGUAAUCGACCACUAAAUAAGGUGCGAAUAUAAACAUUAUGAUAUCAAAAUUCCACGUAGAGCACAAUUCAAGCAACGGAAAGUAUCGAGAGUAAAUCCUAACCAAGAUAUCAACGUGUUUCGAUACAUUUUAAACUUCCUGCUCAUGAAUAAAACCAUAAUCUAGUGGAGUUAAAUCGCUCGCUAAAAGUUAUCGUAACAGUAUUUGUCACCCUCCGACCAAAGUAUCUUAAGCUCAAUGCGUUUAAAAAUUCCCGCCGCCAUUUUAUUUUUUUGCAGGGAAAUAGUCGGUUGAACAUGUCGGAAAAUUUCACUAAAUUUUAUCGGCAGCACGAAGAAAAUUCAGUGAAAUUUUAGGGCAGCUUCGUUGAAAAAUUUCUCUGUAAAAAAGUAAAAUGGCGGCGGAAAUUGUUCAACGUCGCAUAUGGCGCUUGUGACACUUUAGCCGGAAGGUGACGAUUUGCAGUUUUUUCUAAGAUUUUAGACAAUCAAACUGACAGAAGGUUCGUUUGUUGCAGGUGGGAGUUCUCUAAUGUAUUAUGCGGAGAGCCCAGGGUUCCUCGCUCGUGCGAAAGGUAAUUUCGGUGACGUCAAAAGGUUCUCCUGUCCCGAUUGCAAUAGGCAAUUCGUCAGACCCUCAUCCUUGCGGAGUCAUAGAUUAUACGAAUGCGGAAAGGAACCGGAUCUCAAAUGCCCCGAAUGUGCCUACAUCACAAAAAUCAAAGGGAACCUCAAAAGGCACCUCAUAAUGAGACACGCACAUUACACACAACAGUGAUUGAUAUUAGAAUUGAACAGAGUUUGAUUGUAGAAAGGCUUAUCGCCAAGAGUCAAGUUUCAAGAAAAUAUGAAAAAUUUAUUCAUACGGCAAUUCCUCAUAUUUCUGCCUGAAAAAAAUCAACCAAUGUUGAUUUUUUACCGAUCAUCCUUAGGAAAAUCUCUACUCCUAAAAAUUAUUUUCACAUUUGUUCAAUCAGCAGGGCAAGCUUUAUCGGUUGCUUUUAUUCGGUGUUCUUGAAGAUGCAUUUUUAUCAGAAUUUAACAUUAGUUCUGAAUCAAUACCUACAACCAUGUAUUUUAUCAUUGAAUUUUGUUAAUAACGUUGUACAAUACCUGUAAAUUUGUAAACUACAUUUUUUUUAUCAAUUAUAUUGAUUUUCUGUACCAUAUAGCCCCUUAAAUUCUUAUUUUCUCCCCAGUUCAAUUUUUCCCCCUAUAAUAUAGUCCUGAUGUUCCAGGUGUAACACGUUGAAAGCAGAUUUAAUAUUACCGUCUCAAAGUCCCUCCAACCCUCAGACAAGGGUCGUUUUAACACUACCUAUCAGACUUCUUCUUUUUUUUGUAUGCAUUCCAGAAAUAUUCCCCCAAUGCAGUAAAAAUGUUUCAUAAGGGUUUCUUCAAACCCUCCUCUAUCACAAUGUUAACCAUGUUGGGCCUCCUAAGAAACGGAACUGGUUAAGGACGCUGGAUCUGGUUAAGGGACUAUGAAUGCGACCCUAAACUCGCUGACCAAUCCGAGAGCGGGACACUUUUCCUAUACUAAAAGGCUCGAGAUGGUCCUACCCUUCCUAUGUACACUGAAAAAAGAAGUCAUGGACUAUAUAGACAUACCGUCCAUUCCGGGCUCUGUGGCCGAAAGUUCCGAGUACUGGAGCCGUAGCUUCGACUGCUCCGGGUACUAUGCCCGGAACGCAGACGGUAUGUCUUAUCUAGUCCGUAAUUACGGCCAGGGUGUCUACAAGUCCGGAAAGUCUGGAAAUAGUACUGAUUUUUUAAGGGCGGUCCGGAAGUACUGAAAAAGUGCGGAAAUUCCACAAAAUGGUCCGGAAGCUUUUAAUUUUUUGUCAUUUUUUUCGCAAUUUCAAAUUUCUGAAAUUUUUCGAAUUUCUUCAAAUGGAGAUACUGAAAAAGUACGGAAUUUUUCUGUUGGAGGAGGUAUUGAAUUUCUUGAGAAUGUAUUAAAAAGUACUGUAAAAGUACUUAUUUUUGGCCAGCGUGUUUUAGUAGACACCCUGACGGCUUCCACGGCCGGAGUUUUUUUU